rnacentral:rRNA from 1 species
UACGUAGGUGGCAAGCGUUGUCCGGAUUUACUGGGCGUAAAGGGCGUGCAGGCGGUUUGUUAAGUGCAGGGUGAAAGCUCCCGGCUCAACUGGGAGAGGUCCUUGCAUACUGGCAGACUUGAGGGAGGCAGAGGAAAGUGGAAUUCCCGGUGUAGUGGUGAUAUGCGUAGAUAUCGGGAGGAACACCUGUGGCGAAGGCGGCUUUCCGGGCCUUACCUGACGCUGAGACGCGAAAGCGUGGGGAGCGAACCGG